AGAGUUUGAUCAUGGCUCAGAUUGAACGCUAGCGGCAGGCCUAACACAUGCAAGUCGAGGGGUAGUUACUUUCGGGUAAUGAGACCGGCGCACGGGUGCGUAACGCGUAUGCAAUCUACCUUUUACAGGGGAAUAGCCCAGAGAAAUUUGGAUUAAUGCCCCAUAGUAUGUAUGAAUCGCAUGGUUUAUACAUUAAAGUUCCAACGGUAAAAGAUGAGCAUGCGUCCCAUUAGUUAGUUGGUAAGGUAACGGCUUACCAAGACUAUGAUGGGUAGGGGUCCUGAGAGGGAGAUCCCCCACACUGGUACUGAGACACGGACCAGACUCCUACGGGAGGCAGCAGUGAGGAAUAUUGGACAAUGGGCGCAAGCCUGAUCCAGCCAUGCCGCGUGCAGGAAGAAGCAUCUAUGGUGUGUAAACUGCUUUUGUACAGGAAGAAACACUCCCUCGUGAGGGAGCUGACGGUACGUA
rnacentral:rRNA from 1 species